rnacentral:rRNA from 1 species
CCUACGGGUGGCAGCAGUCGAGAAUCAUUCACAAUGGGGGAAACCCUGAUGGUGCGACGCCGCGUGGGGGAAUGAAGGUCUUCGGAUUGUAAACCCCUGUCAUGUGGGAGCAAAUUAAAAAGAUAGUACCACAAGAGGAAGAGACGGCUAACUCUGUGCCAGCAGCCGCGGUAAUACAGAGGUCUCAAGCGUUGUUCGGAAUCACUGGGCGUAAGGCGUGCGUAGGCUGUUUCGUAAGUCGGGUGUGAAAGGCGCGGGCUCAACCCGCGGACGGCACAUGAUACUGCGAGACUAGAGUAAUGGAGGGGGAACCGGAAUUCUCGGUGUAGCAGUGAAAUGCGUAGAUAUCGAGAGGAACACUCGUGGCGAAGGCGGGUUCCUGGACAUUAACUGACGCUGAGGCACGAAGGCCAGGGGAGCGAAAGGGAUUAGAUACCCCAGUAGUC